rnacentral:rRNA from 1 species
CAUACGGGAGGCAGCAGUGAGGAAUAUUGGUCAAUGGGCGGGAGCCUGAACCAGCCAAGUCGCGUGAGAGAAGACGGUCCUAUGGAUUGUAAACCUCUUUAGGCGGGGAGCAAUGCCGGGCACGUGUGCCCGGAGGGAGAGUACCCGCAGAAUAAGCAUCGGCUAACUCCGUGCCAGCCGCCGCGGUAAUACGGGGGAUGCGAGCGUUAUCCGGAUUUAUUGGGUUUAAAGGGUGCGUAGGCGGAUUUUUAAGUCAGCGGUAAAAUGUCCGGGCUCAACCCGGGCCGGCCGUUGAAACUGGUGAUCUUGAGUGUGCGAGAAGUAUGCGGAAUGCGUGGUGUAGCGGUGAAAUGCAUAGAUAUCACGCAGAACUCUGAGUGCGAAGGCAGCAUACCGGCGCCCGACUGACGCUGAGGCACGAAAGCGUGGGGAUCGAACAGGAUUAGAUACCCUUGUAGUC